ensembl:lncRNA
UGGACUUCUGGGUCUGGCAUCUGAGACUCAUCUUUUCCAUCUUGUCUCCAGGACUUGGAGACAGGCUCCGGCUCACUGACGUCUUUCAUUUUCUGUGUUCCUACCCCGUGUUUGCUACCCUGGACGCACAGUCUGGUCAUGCCAUGGGUCUGAGAUGUGGUGCACGUGCUGCUUGCGUGGGCGGGGGUUGAGUCAGCUCACACUUGGAGGAACAUCAUGCAGGUGCUGCCCACUAGAUGGCGCAGGGGCCCUGGCUGGUGGGAGCGGAAGUUGCCAAGGCCAGGAAAGAACUUCCCUGAAUCUGAGGAAUGAGGAAACACCCAGGCUGGACAAACUGCAUACAUUUUGCCUACAUAGAAAAAGAUUACUUCUCUUCCAGAUAACCUUGCUCAACCUACAAGAGCUUGCUGUUUUAUUCAUCAGUGAGAGGCAGUUAGUCAAGAUUCUAACUGCCAUGUGUGACUCAUCCACACCUGUGAAGGGAGUAGGUAAGUGACAGUACAAUAUAAAUAAAUUCAGACAUCAAGGAAGGCAAAUGGUGAUUAUUCCUCUAAUAGAAAGUGACUCAAGGGUGCGUAGGAACAUCUGGGACAUUGAUGUUCAUUUCAUGUGACUGUUAGAAAAGUGCUUCUGUUCUAAGAAUGUGACCCUGGUGUGGUGAAGUUUUCUGUGGAGUCUUUUGAAAUUUACAGUCAGUGACAUGGAAGGUCCAUCCAGGAGGAUUCUGACAAAUGCUGUGCCAGUCGAGGUUCAGCACCGUGGGCGUAGCCCAGGCGGAAUAUGGUGCUGGAGCUUUGAGCACAAGCUGAAAUAUUGCACACCACCUCCUCUUCCUGCCAUUCAGAACACUCUUCACAAAACUAAAAACCUGUCAGAAAACAAAGAAAAAUAUAAAUGCAGACAUAAGAAAAUAAAAGGAAUAUUUCCCAGCUUCUGGAAAGAAAGCCAAUGAUCUCUCUUAUAGGUGACAUGGGAUAGAGGAUCCCACUCCAGAUUCCCCCAGCUGCUCCAUGAGCACAGUCUCAGGUUUCCCAUCAUCUCAGAGCUCCGGGGCCUUAAGGCCUCCCCCUUGCCUCUCCUCUGAGUUCCUGUGGAGUCCACACUCCAGAGGUGGCCACCCCACAACCUGGGGCCUCCCCAGUGAGCUCUCAUUUGGGACUGCCCCUGCUCUGAUGUGUCAGGAGGGGCAUUCACCUUUAACCACCUGUUCAUUUGGGGGCCUUUUCCUAUAGGCUCCCUGUGUUCUCAGUUCUGCAUUCAAAUCAUUCUGGGUAGUUUCGUCCUUGUGAUAAAACAUGAAACAGCAGAAAUAAAUGUUUAACUAUUAAAACAAAGAGACCAAUUCAUUAUUGUUGUGGAAGUACAUGAUGCUAUAACAUAUUAAAAACUGUUUUGGAAAUAUAACUUAUUUUACCUUCAUUCCUACACUUACCUGUUCACUGGUCCACUGUCUUCCACAGGCCUCCACAAAUGUCCCCUCCAGGAAUAUUCCAUGGACCAGAGGCCCGUUUGGGGUGAACCAUGGCCAAACUCCUCCAACACUCCAAGGGCCUUUUUUUUUCCCCCUUUUUUUUUUGAGAUGGAUUCUGGCUGUCACCCAGGCUGGAGUGCAGUGGCACGAUCUCUGCUCACUGCAAGCUCCACCUCCCGGGUUCAUACCAUUCUCCUGCCUCAGCCUCCCGAGUAGCUGGGAUUACAGGCACCUGCCACCACGCCUGGCUAAGUUUUUGUAUUUUUAGUAGAGAUGGGGUUUCACCGUGUUAGCCAGGAUGGUCUUGAUCUCCUGACCUCAUGAUCCACCUGCCUCGGCCUCCCAAAGUGCUGGGAUUACAGGUGUGAGCCACUGUGCCUGGCCCCCAGGGCCCUUUUAUUCUGGAGGGCAGAGGCAGGCCUGGCAGGACAAAGCAGGAUGGUGAAGAUUCCAGGAUUUUUGUGUAGGUAAUUUAAGUUUUUUCGAAUAAUAUAACUUUAAAGGUCAGAAAUCCAAGAGAAUUAGCUAAUGAAAACCUCUAUCGAGCAAUAAGUUUGGUAAAGUGACUAGAAACAAGUUUUCACAAAAAACAAGAAUUUGGGGGGCCAGGGGCAGUGGCUCACACCUGUAAGCCCAGCACUUCGGGAGGCUGAGGCAGGUGGAUCAAGAGGUCAGGAGAUCGAGGCCAUCCUGGCUAACACGGUGAAACCCAGACUCUACUAAAAAUACAAAAAACUAGCCAGGUGUGGUGGUGGGCGACUGUAGUCCCAGCUGCUUGGGAGGCUGAGGCAGGAGAAUAGUGUGAACCCAGGAGGCAGAGCUUGCAGUGAGCAGAGAUCGCGCCACUGUACUCCAGCCUGGGCGACAGAGCAAGACUCCAUCUCAAAAAAAAAAAAAUAAAGAAAAAAAAUAAUAAAAAAGAACUUACGUAUCUGUGUCAAUAAAAUCUUUUUUUUUUUUUUCUUUUUUUGAGACAGAGUUUCACUCUGUUCCCCAGGCUGGAGUGCAGUGGCCCGAUCUCAGCUCACUGCACCCUCCACCUCCCAGGUUCAAGCUAUUCUCCCUGCCUCAGCCUCCUGAGUAGCUGGGAUUACAGGCGUGCGCCACCACACCCAGCUAAUUUUUGUAUUUUUAGUAGAGACAGGGUUUCGCCAUGUUGGCCAGGCUGGUCUCAAACUACUGACCUCAGAUGAUUCGCCUGCCUUGGCCUCCCAAAGUGCUGGGAUUACAGGUGUAAGCCACCAUGCCCAGGCAAUAAAAUAUUAAUUAUAAGAUAUAAUAGAAACAUAGAUAACAUAAAUAAUAUUGCCAAAAAAUACAAACGUAGGAUUGGUAAUCAUGAAGACUAUCUUAGACUAACAUCAGAGAAUGAAAAAUAAAUGAAGCUUUGAAUAAUACAGUAGGCAUUGUGUAUCUUUGAUGGAAAAACUAAACGUGGCAAAGAUUGAUUUUUUUUUUUUUUCCCGAGACCGGAGUCUUGCUCUGUUACCCAGGCUGGAUUGCAGUGGCGUGAUCUCUGCUCACUGCAACCUCUGCCUACUGGGCUCACACAAUUUUCCUACCUCAACCUCCCAAGUAGCUGGGAUUAAAGGCAUGUGCCACCAUGCCUGGCUAAUUUUUGUAUUUUUAGUAGAGCUGUGGUUUCACCAUGUUGGGCAGGCUGGUCUUGAACUUCUGACCUCAAGUGAUCUGCCUGCUUCAGCCUCCCAAAGUGCUGGUAUUGCAGGCAUGAGCCACCAUGCCCAGCCAUGUUGAAUUUCUUUAAAAAAUAAUGUGUAAUUUAAUUCUGAUUCCAAUAAUAAUUUCAACUGGACUUUGUUUUUUUUUUUACUACUUGAAAAAAUUGACUUGAAAAUGUAACACCAGCUAAACAGCAAGCAUAAAUUGCACAGAUAAAUUUGGAGGAAAAGAUUCCUGUGAUUAAAAUAUUAUUGUUUAAAUAGUAUGAUAAGGAACAAGGAUAGAUAGAUAAUUU